rnacentral:tRNA from 1 species
GGAGACAUACCCAAGUGGUUGAAGGGGUCGGUCUUGAAAACCGAUAGGGGAUGAACAGUCCCGCAAGAGUUCGAAUCUCUUUGUCUCCG